CAACAAGGCGACCCCGGACCCCUGCGGGGCAGGCCAGCGUGAAAGGUCGCAAGAAUCUGAAUUCAGCAUAUGGAGAGUGGAACUCCAAGCCAGACAAUGCUGCCAGCUGCUGGAGAGCCUGCUGUCGAAACGGGAUUGAUUCCUUUCCAAGUGUUCCUGCUCCACCUGCUAAGGAAUUUAUGUCCUGGAGCAGUGUCCCCCUUCUUGGAGCAGCACCUCCUUUCCCCUUCAUCCAACUCCCUUGUGUGCCAAUUCUCUUCGGACUAGCCAACCAACUGAAUAAGAUUGUGAGGUCAGACCCCAGCCACCACCUGAAAUUAGAAUAAAAACUAGAUAC
rnacentral:lncRNA from 1 species